AGCGAACGCUGGCGGCAGGCCUAACACAUGCAAGUCGAACGAACCUUUCGGGGUUAGUGGCGGACGGGUGAGUAACACGUGGGAACGUGCCUUUAGGUUCGGAAUAACUCAGGGAAACUUGUGCUAAUACCGAAUGUGCCCUUCGGGGGAAAGAUUAAUCGCCUUUAGAGCGGCCCGCGUCUGAUUAGCUAGUUGGUUGAGGUAAUGGCUCACCAAGGCAACGAUCAGUAGCUGGUCUGAGAGGAUGAUCAGCCACAUUGGGACUGAGACACGGCCCAAACUCCUACGGGAGGCAGCAGUGGGGAAUCUUGCGCAAUGGGCGAAAGCCUGACGCAGCCAUGCCGCGUGAAUGAUGAAGGUCUUAGGAUUGUAAAAUUCUUUCACCGGGGACGAUAAUGACGGUACCCGGAGAAGAAGCCCCGGCUAACUUCGUG
rnacentral:rRNA from 1 species